rnacentral:siRNA from 1 species
AGCAUUUGUGGUCCAGUGGUAGG